UUCCAAACGGACGAGGAACCACUGAGAUGAUGUGUUAGGACUCCCAGCCUGCCAGAACCUCACAGCCCCUGGCCCUUCACAGCAAAGUCGACCACAGUGAGCAUUCCCUCCACCAGUCAGAACACCCUGGACGCUGAGCGGCCUUCUCUGAGAGCCUGGUGCCUUUCAUAGCCCUGGGUGACUCCUCUGAUCCCAGCCACCAGGUUGUCACUAUAGACCUAAUUUAACCAUCUGUCCUCAGUAUGCAGGGCUCAACAUUUGGAACGGGAGGUGGUUCUGGGAGCCAAUUAGAGGCCAGGCUUUGGGAGGUGGCAGAGGUGAGAACCUCACACCUGGGCUCUGUCUGAUAAGUCUAGGCCUGGGUCAGGGGACCUUGGCCUAAAGGGCCUGUCUUGCCUGGAGCGUGGGAGGGGGCUGAGUCUACACAGCUGGCCUGGCCUCAGGCCUGGAGCUUUAGCUCAAGGACGAGAAGACCCAUAAAGCCAGACCCAGCUCCCAACCUCACAUCUGCCACGAUGUUGCUGCUCAGCCUGACCCUAAGCCUGGUUCUCCUCGGCUCCUCCUGGGGUGAGUGGGUCAGGACCAGCCCUGAUUCAGCCCUGGGAGCAACUCAGCUCCCAGCACCAGCCCAGGGAAGGAGCUAGGCUGGCUGGAAGGGACGAAGGUGGACAGAGUAGGCAAAAGAAACAGGAUAUGCCAGGGCAGGGGAGCAGGAACAGGCCUGCAGGGCUGGGAGGGGGCAAGAGCUGGGGUGGUCUCACGAAUAGGACCAGAGAUUGAGCCAGGCCCUGGAGCCCGGGAGGGUUUAGGAAGCUGAGACAGCAAGACCUGUCCAUGUCUUUUAGAAAGAACCUUCUGGCUGCAUGAAGGGUAUGAACUGUUCAGGUCGGGAGGGGCAGAGAGAUCAGGGGUAGAGAUGGGGAACAGCGGGGACUAGGCUGGAGAAAGAUGUAGGAGAACAGCAGGGCUGGGGGACUGGUUGGAUGGGGAUAACCAAGAUAGCUGUGGGGCCCGAAGGUGCUUGCAUGUACCCGGUUGGGGAAGGGGUAGUGCUGUAUCCUCUCGACAGACCUCUCUGGGGUGAACAGCCUGGGGCACCCAAGAUGAGGUGGAGAAAGGUGGGCUGAGGCAUGGGAAGCAGGUCCUCAUUAGCCCAAUGGCCAGGCUGCGGCGUUCCUGCCAUCAAACCGGCACUGAGCUUCAGCCAGAGGAUUGUCAACGGGGAGAAUGCAGUGUCGGGCUCCUGGCCCUGGCAGGUGUCCCUGCAGGUACACCACCGGAGGAGUGGGCAGGGUCCUGGGUACGUCAUGCCUAGGGGCAGCCUCAGCAGCCCACUCGCACUCUGACCUCUGAGCCCUGACCACAGGACAGAAGCGGCUUCCACUUCUGCGGUGUUCUCUCAUCAGCCAGUCCUGGGUGGUCACUGCUGCCCACUGCAACGCCAGCCCUGGCCGCCAUUUUGUUGUCCUGGGCGAGUAUGACCGAUCAUCGAACACAGAACCCUUGCAGGUUCUGUCCAUCUCUCAGGCCAUUACACACCCUAGCUGGAACUCUACCACCAUGAACAAUGACGUGACGCUGCUGAAGCUCGCCUCGCCAGCCCAGUACACAACACGCAUCUCGCCAGUUUGCCUGGCAUCCUCAAACGAGGCUCUGACUGAAGGCCUCACGUGUGUCACCACCGGCUGGGGUCGCCUCAGUGGUGUGGGCAAUGUGACACCAGCACGUCUGCAGCAGGUGGCUUUGCCCCUAGUCACUGUGAAUCAGUGCCGGCAGUACUGGGGCUCAAGUAUCACUGACUCCAUGAUCUGUGCAGGUGGCGCAGGUGCCUCCUCGUGCCAGGGUGACUCCGGAGGCCCUCUUGUCUGCCAGAAGGGAAACACAUGGGUGCUUAUUGGUAUUGUCUCCUGGGGCACCAAAAACUGCAAUGUGCGCGCACCUGCUGUGUAUACUCGAGUUAGCAAGUUCAGCGCCUGGAUCAACCAGGUCAUAGCCUACAACUGAGCCCACCACAGGCCCCUCCCCAGCUCAACCCAUUAAAGACCCAGGCCCUGUCCCAUCAUGCAUUCACGUCUGUCUUCCUGGCUCAGGAGAAAGGAGAGGCUGUUGAGGGUCCAACUCCCUACUUGGACUUCUGCCAUAGAAGGGGCUGAGUGACUCCGUGAGUAGCAGUGGCUCUUCCUAGAGUAGCCAUGCCCAGGCCGGGGCCCCCACCCCUCCUCCAGGGCAACCCCUUGGUCCUACAGCAAGAAGCCAGAACUGCUGGAAUGAAUGGCAGCCCUCCCUGGAGAGGCAGCCUGUUUACUGAAUACAGAGGAUACGUUUACAAACUGAAUACGCAUAAUAAAUAACUGCACAUU
rnacentral:sRNA from 1 species